rnacentral:rRNA from 1 species
AGAAUGAACGUUGGCGGCGUGGAUUAGGCAUGCAAGUCGUACGCUCCGCAAGGGGCGUGGCGCAAGGGUGAGUAAGGCGACGGCAACCAACCCCGCGGCCGGGCAUAGCCACUCGAAAGGGUGGGUAAUUCCCGAUGUCCCGCAGAGCCGGCAUCGGCACUACGGGAAAGGUGUGAUUCCGCCGUGGGACGGACCGUCGUGGUAUCAGCUUGUUGGUGAGGUAACGGCUCACCAAGGCGAUGACGCCUACCGGGCGUGCGAGCGUGGCCCGGCACACUGGGACUGAGACACUGCCCAGACUCCUACGGGAGGCUGCAGUCGAGAAUCUUCGGCAAUGGGCGCAAGCCUGACCGAGCGACGCCGCGUGGAGGACGAAGGCCUUCGGGUUGUAACUCCUGUCGAGGGGAACGAGGUGCCGUGAAGAGCGGUGCUUGAGUGAUCCCUGGAGGAAGCGACGGGCUAAGUUCGUGCCAGCAGCCGCGGU